rnacentral:tRNA from 1 species
GGUUGUAACUCAGUGGUAGAGCACUUGCCUCACAUGUGUGAGGCACUGGGUUCAAUUCUCAGCACCA